rnacentral:rRNA from 1 species
UGGGGAAUAUUGCACAAUGGGGGAAACCCUGAUGCAGCGACGCCGCGUGAGCGAAGAAGGUUUUCGAAUCGUAAAGCUCUGUCCUAUGAGAAGAUAAUGACGGUAUCAUAGGAGGAAGCCCCGGCUAAAUACGUGCCAGCAGCCGCGGUAAUACGUAUGGGGCGAGCGUUGUCCGGAAUUAUUGGGCGUAAAGCGCACGUAGGCGGACUUUUAAGUCAGGGGUGAAAUCCCGGGGCUCAACCCCGGAACUGCCUUUGAUACUGGAAGUCUUGAGUAUGGUAGAGGUGAGUGGAAUUCCGAGUGUAGAGGUGAAAUUCGUAGAUAUUCGGAGGAACACCAGUGGCGAAGGCGGCUCACUGGACCAUUACUGACGCUGAGGUGCGAAAGCGUGGGGAGCAAACAGG